CGGGGUGCAUGGGGGGCGCAGGUGCAUUGUGUGGGGGUGUUGGAGGGGGGGUGCAUGCAUGCACACGCACCUCCCCGAGCCCCAAACGCAGGGCCCCCCUGCCUGCCCAUGGUGGGGGACGCUGCCCUGCAUCGCGGGCCCCCCCACCCGCCAUCCCUGUCCCCCCACAGCAGCACCCUGCCCACAGCGGCCCCCGUGGGGGGUUGGUGCUCGCCUGCUGCGUUAGGGGCCCGUCAGCGCGGGGUGGGUGCAGCGAGGCUGCCCCCGGCCUGCUCUGCGCUCGCAACGGGGCCACAGCAGCACCCAGAAGGGGGUUUCUAGGGGGGAAAAAUCCAGCGGUAGCCACGGAUCACGUUCUUCAGCCUGGUUCUGCUUUCGCGCUCAGCGGCUUGGUACCGGCAGCCCGUUGGCUCCAGGAGAUUCACUGAUAAUCUGCACUAAUAAGACCGAAAUUAAAAGUAAACACUUGGGUUUUAACAUGGUUUCUUAAGCUCUGCAGUAGGAGCCAAAAGUGCUUUGAAUCUGUUAUGUGGGACGAGCGACACGGUGACCUUCAGGGAGCAAAUCCCGUUCCUCCGCAGCUUCUCGGCUUGCUCUGUGCCCGUGUUUCCUGAGGAGCGGGGAAGAAAAGGAGUGUUUGUCCGUGGAUAUCACUCGCUCUGAUGGACAGGGCUGAAGCCAUCCACCUCCCAGGUGCAGGCGUGACCCAGUGCAUCUCCAGUACCGACAGGCAAAAGUACAGCCCCCCCUAAGCCCUCAACGCAGUUACUCAGGUGUAAGUCUACACCCUCUGUAUAGGCCAGAGACAACUGCAGCUGUAGCCCAUCCGAAGGUCACCAACCCAGCAUUGGUCCGAUUUAGCUUUGCAGACGUGGGGGUGCACGUCAGGGGUGUGCUGAGGCUUAGGGAGCGGAGAGUUUAUAUAGCAAGGUGUGGGGGUUUUAUUACUUUUCAGAAAACCGUGUGAAAGGGGAGGUGCUGCAGAUGAGCGAGAUGGCACCUCUGUAGCAUCUGCUUUGUUAUGACCAGCUCCUGGCUUGCUUUACCCACAGAGCCAGUCCAGGUGGGCCCAUAGCACUUGCAGCUCUACACCAUUACUCAGUUCAGUUUUUAGGAUUUAACAUUCAGCUCUGCGUUACUUUGGAGUUGCUCUCCACAGGAAGUGCCAUGCUGGCUUCAGCUCAGCCCAGCUGGCGGGAUGGUGUGCGCUGAGCUCACCACAGCGCUGCAGCUAUGUCCUAAGAGACUAGGAGGAAGUGUGGGGUCUGUGGGAGAUGGGUGGGAGACAUCGCAAACCUGGCACUUCAGCAGAUGGACCUUUGUUUCCAUGCCCGACCACAAAAAAGUGGCAGAGCACCCCUUUCAAAAUCACAGCUGGCCAUUGGGCUGAGGUUUGCUGCCGCCAGAUUCGUUAGCAAAGGUGGUGUUCGCUUCUUCCUGAGCAGAAGGGUAGCCCAGCUGCUCACACAGGUAAGCCGAGAAAAGAUGCUCUGCACCACGUUUCUGCCAGGCAAACUGUGGGACAUCUCUAGCUCUUCAUUACUGAGAUGCUGAACUCAAAGCAGACAGCGGCUUUGCUCAAGACAGCCGGCCAAGCCAUGAGACAGGAACUCUGGGAGCACUUCAUAGGGUUUUAGAGACUGCAAGAACCAGCAAAUCUUCAGGGGGGGCCAGAAAUGCAAAGUCACCACAUUUGCAGCCAAAUUCCCAGAUGAAGAGAGAGAGACAUCUGGUUUUGCUAAAAAGGUGUCUGAAAUGCUCUAGUACUCUGGAUUAAGAGCUCUACUGGAUUUGGAGCCAGUCAGCUAUGUAGAGAGCAAAAGCAACUGCUUCAGCUACAGACCUGUGCGGAAGGAGAGUUUUCCUCUUUUCCGUGCUGCAGAGUACACGAAGGGUGAAAAAGCAGAAUGACCAGUUGGAUGGCUUACGGCACUGUCGCUUCCCGACUGCACCUAUGCCCAGAUUCACCUUAGCGGCAACAGAGCAAACUGCAGAAGAAUUUGAUGGGGAACGUGCUUAACUUGCUCUAGUACGCUUUUGUUCUGCCUGAGUUUGAAUUAGUUUUUGUUGCAAGGUCUAUGAAUCAGCUCCUCCACUCAACAGCUCUGUGUAGGAGUUAGAGGCAGAUGUACUGGGGGGCUGAAAGAGUGUUUAAAGCUCACCCUGCACCCUGGUGCAGCACUUGUACUCAGAAAAGCAAGCAGCACUACCUAGUCCUUUGUGGAGCACCUUCAGCAGGGCAGAUUGGGGCUCAAGGUUGAGCAGUCCCCCUUCACAUCCAGCUGUGCACAGCUCCAUUUGGGAGGAUGAUGCAUCCAGGAAUAACCAUCUGUCUCAACGAGACAGACCCAGCUAGCAGGCUGCCUGGUGCUGCUCCUCCGCAGGCCACAUCUCCGUUGACAGGCUGCACAGCAUUCCCAGGGAUGGUGUGCAUAGCAAAUAAGUUGGUGCAGCAGAACUGUCAUCCCCAUUGCAAGUGUCAGGGAGGGCAUCACAUUGGAUUAGCAGAUCCCAUGGACAUCCAUUAAAGGCUGGGUCAAAUUUGGGUGAUCUCCCAGAGUUCAUCUUCCACUCCCUUCCACAGGGUGCUCCUGAUGGGAACUACAGCAGUAACCAGGCUGCACCCUCAGCCCCCUGAGGGCAGCAAGUUUGCCUAGAGCUUUGCUUUCUCAUGAGACCCGAAGUCCAGGCCUCUCUCCUGUUCCUACCGGUUCCCUUCCCAUUCUCUGCCAGGUCGGGGUAGGCAAUGAAACUGCUUCCAAAUGAGGCACCUCUCAGUCUACAAAGGCAUUUUCACAUGGGUCAGUAUGCAGAUUUCCUCUGGCAAAGCCAGCAGCAUUGGGUUUUACUUAACCUGCAGAGACUAGAGUUGGGGAGGGGAGAUGGAAAGUCUCUGGGAGUUGAUUAAGCUUGUUUAAUACUUGGAUAUGCUUUCCUUAAUUGUUUCACCCUGGAUGGGUAACUAGCUUUCCAGUGCUGAAUGGCUUAUCUCUCAGUUACAUGAGUGCAGCUGGCAGCAGGAUUUGGCUCUGUUGGUCAGCAUCCCAGCGGUGGGAAUUCAGAUGGCUCCUGUGCUGGUGCUGCGGUCCCACCGUCACCUUUCCCUCACAGAGAGGGGGAGACGUGCUGUAGAGGGGAGGCAGCGCUGCAAUCGGCCAGCCCUUGGGGCACUGCCAGCACAGAUACUGGUGUUUCUUUUCUCAUCCUGCUGCUGAUGGGCUAAGAGAGGGAGCAAGACAGCCUGCUGAGGAGUCCUGCAGAGUGGAGCUGGCGGCAGAGAAUACCGGGAUCCUGCUCGGCAGCUUUGCUGACCUGCCUGGUGGGGUCUGCAGGACCAGCUUACCCCAACCUUCGCGCCAAAGAGAAGGACUACGGCCCUACGUGGAACAUCAGAGCCACUGCAGGAGACAUUUCGGCAGCAAUCGUGUUUCCAGUCAGUUAUCCCGCAAAGGUGCUCACAUAUUUUCAAAUCUAGGCAGGUCUGGGAGAGUUUCUUCAGUCUGGUCCUAUCCAAUUUCCCUGUGUCAAAGGAGGGGGAGUGAAUAAUUUAUCUCCUGUCCUCUAGCUCCCUCCCUGCUCAGGUUUCAUCUCAGAUCUGCUUCUGUACACUGAAGAGAUGCUUCAGCAGGAACUCCUGGAUUAGCAAGUUACUGACAGGGACAGAGCCAGCCAGUAUCAUCCAGUGAUACAACUUGUCUUUAUGGUGCUUAUUUGUAUGCUGAGAACAGUAGUAAGUGGAGCAGGAGAAAUAAUAUGUGAAUAAUGCAAAUAAUAGGAUCAGGUUCCACAGUAAGUCUUACUUUUAGUUCCUCUUUUGCCGCAUAACUUUAGCAUUUAGAUUGUCUUUAUUGUUCAUUAUUAAUUCAACAGGAGCACACAGAGGCCGUAAUUGAAUUUGGAGCUGUGUUGUACCAGGCACCACAGAAUUAGGAUGCAGUCCCUGAAGAACACGCAGUCAGCUUGAGAACGUGUCCCUGCAAGAAAGAAGAAAAGUUAUUUGAUGUCUUUUUAUAGCUUAAGAUAUGCAAAGAUGCAAAAGUAAUGGGUGCCAAUGUUAGCAGUGAAAUCUAUUUGAUCUUAUUAAUUUUUAAAUAAUCCAUGUUUUCGUUUCUUUGUCAUUACUACAUUUCCUCACGUUAUCUAAGUACUGUGUGCUGCAUUUUUUGCAAAGUAUGAGGAAGAUUAGUCAAGCGUCUUUUGAGUUACAGGUCAUUACAGUUUCCUAUGACUACAGAGCUAUUUAAUAAAAACAAUUAAACAUUAUGACAGGAUUUUCUGUUGAGGCAUGAAUUCACUCACAACUUUGAACAAGCAAAUUAUUUUUGUGGAAAAGAAAACUAGUUAUUCAAGAAGGAGGAUUGCAGUGGUUCACACUUUCUAAUGCUAUAUACAUCUGAAAAAUGACACUGGGAUAUCAUUGCUUUGGAUAAUGUCAUAUAAGAAUCACAGCUAAAGACUGAUUUAAGAAGUUGCAUGUAUUUUAUUAUGUACCUCUCUUUACUUUUGAUUUUUCUAAUUAAAAUUUAACAUUA